GGGCUUAACCCCAGACCUGCAUUCGAUACGGGCGAGCUAGAGUGUGGUAGGGGAGACUGGAAUUCCUGGUGUAGCGGUGGAAUGCGCGGAUAUCAGGAGGAACACCAAUGGCGAAGGCAGGUCUCUGGGCCAUUACUGACACUGAGGAGCGAAAGCGUGGGGAGCGAACAGGAUUAGAUACCCUGGUAGUCCACGCCGUAAACGGUGGGCACUAGUUGUGGGAACCUUCCACGGUUUCUGCGACGCAGCUAACGCAUUAAGUGCCCCGCCUGGGGAGUACGAUCGCAAGAUUAAAACUCAAAGGAAUUGACGGGGCCCCGCACAAGCAGCGGAGCAUGCGGCUUAAUUCGACGCAACGCGAAGAACCUUACCAAGGCUUGACAUAUACAGGAAUAUGGCAGAAAUUCCAUAGCCGCAAGGUCUGUAUACAGGUGGUGCAUGGUUGUCGUCAGCUCGUGUCGUGAGAUGUUGGGUUAAGUCCCGCAACGAGCGCAACCCUCGUUCUGUGUUGCCAGCAUUUAGUUGGGGACUCACAGGAGACUGCCGGGGUUAACUCGGAGGAAGGUGGGGAUGACGUCAAAUCAUCAUGCCCCUUAUGUCUUGGGCUGCACGCAUGCUACAAUGGCUGGUACAAACGGCUGCGAUACCGCAAGGUGGAGCGAAUCCGAUAAAGCCAGUCUCAGUUCGGAUUGGGGUCUG
rnacentral:rRNA from 1 species